GACGUAGGGCGCGAGCGUUGUCCGGAUUUAUUGGGCGUAAAGAGCUCGUAGGCGGUUUGUCGCGUCGGAUGUGAAAUUUUAAGGCUCAACCCUGACAUUGCAUCCGAUACGGGCAGGCUAGAGUUCGGUAGGGGAGACUGGAAUUCCUGGUGUAGCGGUGAAAUGCGCAGAUAUCAGGAGGAACACCGGUGGCGAAGGCGGGUCUCUGGGCCGAUACUGACGCUGAGGAGCGAAAGCGUGGGGAGCGAACAGG
rnacentral:rRNA from 1 species